CACCCUGCCCGGCCAGCUGUCCGUCCCCUGCACCCCUUACGACGCCAGCCGUAUGUGAGGGCCCCUGUGUGGAGGGCUGCCAGUGCGACGCGGGUUUCGUGUUAAGUGCUGACCGCUGUGUUCCCCUCAACAACGGCUGCGGCUGCUGGGCCAAUGGCACCUACCACGAGGCGGGCAGUGAGUUUUGGGCUGAUGGCACCUGCUCCCAGUGGUGUCGCUGCGGGCCUGGGGGUGGCUCGCUGGUCUGCACACCUGCCAGCUGUGGGCUGGGUGAAGUGUGUGGCCUCCUGCCAUCCGGCCAGCACGGCUGCCAGCCCGUCAGCACAGCUGAGUGCCAGGCGUGGGGUGACCCCCAUUACGUCACUCUGGAUGGGCACCGAUUCGAUUUCCAAGGCACCUGCGAGUACCUGCUGAGUGCACCCUGCCACGGACCACCCUUGGGGGCUGAGAACUUCACUGUCACUGUAGCCAAUGAGCACCGGGGCAGCCAGGCUGUCAGCUACACCCGCAGUGUCACCCUGCAAAUCUACAACCACAGCCUGACACUGAGUGCCCGCUGGCCCCGGAAGCUACAGGUGGACGGCGUGUUCGUCACUCUGCCCUUCCAGCUGGACUCGCUCCUGCACGCACACCUGAGCGGCGCCGACGUGGUGGUGACCACAACCUCAGGGCUCUCGCUGGCUUUCGAUGGGGACAGCUUCGUGCGCCUGCGCGUGCCGGCGGCGUACGCGGGCUCUCUCUGUGGCUUAUGCGGGAACUACAACCAGGACCCCGCAGACGACCUGAAGGCGGUGGGCGGGAAGCCCGCCGGAUGGCAGGUGGGCGGCGCCCAGGGCUGCGGGGAA
rnacentral:lncRNA from 1 species